UCGACUACUACACUGUAUCCGGCUGGAU
rnacentral:sRNA from 1 species